UACGAAGGGGGCUAGCGUUGCUCGGAAUUACUGGGCGUAAAGCGCACGUAGGCGGCUUUCUAAGUCGGGGGUGAAAUCCUGGAGCUCAACUCCAGAACUGCCUUCGAUACUGGAAAGCUCGAGUCCGGGAGAGGUGAGUGGAACUGCGAGUGUAGAGGUGAAAUUCGUAGAUAUGACCCGGAACACCGAUUGCGAAGGCAGCCCACUAAGCAACUAUUGACGCUGAGGCACGAAAGCGUGGGGAUCAAACAGG
rnacentral:rRNA from 1 species